UACGAAGGGGGGCUAGCGUUGUUCGGAAUUACUGGGCGUAAAGCGCGCGUAGGCGGACUGCUAAGUCAGGGGUGAAAAUGCCGAGGCUUAACCUCGGAACUGCCUUUGAUACUGGCGGUCUGGAGUUCGGGAGAGGUGAGUGGAAUUCCGAGUGUAGAGGUGAAAUUCGUAGAUAUUCGGAGGAACACCAGAAGCGAAGGCGGCUCACUGGCCCGAUACUGACGCUGAGGUGCGAAAGCGUGGGGAGCAAACAGG
rnacentral:rRNA from 1 species